AGCAGCCGCGGUAAUUCCAGCUCCAAUAGCGUAUAUUAAAGUUGUUGCAGUUAAAAAGCUCGUAGUUGAAUUUCGGGGUCAGUAGGUUGGUCAUGCCACUGGUAUGUACUGGUCUCACUGAUUCCUCCUUCCUGAUGAGCCGUAAUGCCAUUAAUUUGGUGUUGCGAGGAAUCUGGACUGUUACUUUGAAAAAAUUAGAGUGUUUAAAGCAGGCUAACGCUUGAAUACAUUAGCAUGGAAUAAUGAAACAGGACGUUCGAUCUUAUUUUGUUGGUUUCUAGGAUUGACGUAAUGAUUAAUAGGGAUAGUUGGGGGCAUUAGUAUUCAAUUGUCAGAGGUGAAAUUCUUGGAUUUAUUGAAGACUAACUACUGCGAAAGCAUUUGCCAAGGAUAUUUUCAUUAAUCAAGAACGAAAGUUAGGGGAUCGAAGACGAUCAGAUACCGUCGUAGUCUUAACCAUAAACUAUGCCGACUAGGGAUCGGAUGAUGUUAAUUUUUAAUGA
rnacentral:rRNA from 1 species